GUAGAUGAAUAUUGUCUAAUUUUAUGUUCUGGAUUUGUUUCACAGACACAUUGAGAACUGGUCGGGCUUGCAGACUUUGAGGGACGUUGACAUGGAGUUGUACACUGGGCUUCAGAGACUGAACAUUGUGAACUGCAACUUACGUACGAUUCAGUCACGAGCCUUCGCCAAGAACCCCAACCUGCACUACAUAAACUUGUCCGGGAACCCUCUGACAACUCUCUCAUGGCAACUCUUUCAGAAUCUCCAACUUUUCGAGCUGUAAGUUAAAUGUGUUUUUGUUCUUUCUCUAUAUUCUCCAGCCUUUAUUGAUUUUUCACUGUGGUUAACUGGCUGAUGGACACC